AUGUUACAGACCAAGCAGCGUGGUAUCGAGAGGCAGCGAUAUCUGGAGAAAUGGACAUGGGAGGAGAUAUUGGACGAUGGAGAUCUUGCUACACCUGCUGUGACUCUGUUCCCUCCAUCCACUGAAGACCUCAAGUCCAGCAGAGCAACACUGGUGUGUCUGACUAGUAACCUGUCUCAGAAGUCCAAGGGGUUGGCAGAUGUCAGCUGGAUGUCUAACAGUGAAUCAGUGACAGAAGAUGUUUCUACCAGCCCUGCUGAGCAGCAACCAGACAAAACCUUCAAGAUCAGCAGCUAUCUGACCAUUCAGACUGCAGAGUGGGAUAAGGGCGUGGUUGUCGUGUCUUUACUAUCAUUAAAUUGAAGACUUAUAGUUUUUAUCAAAGAUUC